UCGGCGCUGAUUGAGGGCGCUGAUCGACGGCGCUGUCUCGUCGGCCCUCUUUGGCGUCGCUCUUUACCAGCGCCGAUGGAUUGUUUCAUAAGUGCCCCCGUCGGAGCUAUCAGUGGUUUUUUAUUCUUUAUUUACUUCAUGUUUUGAGAUCAUGCAAAAACAACGGAAACACAAUUGCAAGAUUAAAGUCUUGAGUAAUUCCAUGUCCGCAUACCAUUUACGAUAAGUGCUCUCUGGAGGCGUCUAUGGAAUCAUGGAGGAACUAGUGCUGGUAUUGUGUCGACCAUACUGGCUGAUCCAAUGAACUGUAGCGUGCUACC